GCAACCUAUUCUCUAUAGGAGAAUACAAAGUUGACAAUACUCGGUGAAGUGAAAUAUCUCAGUAACCGAAGGAAAAGAAAUCGUAAUGAGAUUCCCUUAGUAGUGACGAGCGAACAGGGAAGAGCCCAAACUCUAUUAGUGUAAGCUUCUAGGCGUUGCUAAUAAGAGGGUUGUAGGAUCGUCCAUAAAGAGCUAGAACUCUUUGGAUGGAGAGAUGUUGUAUUAGGAGAAGCAUUUGAAUGAUGCACCAUAGAAGGUUAAAGUCCCGUAUCUGAAAAUAUGACACCACAUCGUGACGACACCUGAGUAAUAUCAGACACGAGAAAUCUGGUAUGAAUCUGCCCAGACCACUGGGUAAGGCUAAAUACUUUUUUACACCGACAGCGAACAGUACCGUGAGGGAACGGUGAAAAGAACCCCUGGUAGGGGAGUGAAAUAGAACCUGAAAUUUAUUGCUUACAAUUGAGUGGGAGCCGCAAGGUGACCACGUACCUAUUGACGAAUGGGUCAGCGAGUUAUUAGUAGUAGCGAGGUUAAGCCAGUUAUAGGCGGAGCCGAAGGGAAACCGAGUCUGAAUAGGGCGCUUUAGUUAUUAUUAAUAGACCCGAAGCGGUAUGAGCUAGACAUGGGCAGGUUGAAGGCAUAGGAAACUAUGCUGGAGGACCGAACGGGUUGGUGCUGCAAAACCUUCCGAUGACCUGUGUUUAGGAGUGAAAAGCUCAUCGAAUACCGUGAUAGCUGGUUCUCUCCGAAAUGCAUUUAGGUGCAGCCUGCAUUUUGAGAUCUUGAAGAGGUAGAGCUCUGGAAAGGCUAGGGGUGUCGAGAGACAUUACCAAACCUUACUAAACUUCGAAUGCUUCAAGGAAUAUUGCAGAGUGGGACUACGGGAGCAAGUUUCGUAGUCAAAAGGAUAACAGUCCAGACUUCUGAUUAAGGUCCCUAAAGUAAUGCUAAGUGGAAAAAGAGGUGUCUUUACUUAUACAUCCAGGAGGUUUGCCUAGAAGCAGCAAUCCUUUAAAGAAAGCGUAACAGCUCACUGGACUAGCGAAGAUGCGCUGAAGAUGUAACGGGGCUAAGCAUUAUACCGAAAUCGAAGACCAGUGUAGUAAUACACUGUGUGGUAGGAGAGUGUUCUUACAGGAUGAAGCUACAUCGCGAGAUGUGGUCGACUAGUAAGAAGUAAAAAUGCUGACAUGAGUAACGCUUAUUGAUGAAAAUUCAAUAUAUCGAAACCCUAAGGAUUCCUACGCAACGUUCAUCGUCGUAGGGUUAGUCGGGACCUAAGGCUUAUCCAGAAAUGGAGAGUCGAUGGAUAACUGGUUAAUAUUCCAGUACUUAUAUAAAGAGUGAUGGAGUAACGCAUUGAGAUUUGUGAGAGCUCAUUAAGGAUUUGAGUCGAAAGAGUGAGGUUUUUAUAACCUUAGGUUAUAAAGGUAGUUGCAGGAAAAUCCACAACUAUUGAUACUGAGCUUGAUCGGAAUUUGAUUCCUCGGAAUUGGAAAUUCUCAUCGUUUUGGUGCCGAGAAAAACUUCUAAACUUAAUCUUUAUGUAACCCGUACUCAGAUCAGACACUUGUGGGGUGGUAGAGAAUACUAAGAUAAUCGAGAUAAUUAAUGGGUAAGGAACUUGGCAAAUUAGCGGACGUACUUUCGAAAUAAGUCCUGUCCCGAGCAAUCGGGAUCGCAGCGAAAGAGAUGGGGGGAACUGUUUAUCACAAACACAGCUCGUUGCUAACUCGUAAGAGGAUGUAUAGCGGGUGAUGCCUGUCCAAUGCCAGAAUGUUAUGCUCUCUUGUGCAAGCUCGAGGGUUAAGCACUGGUGAAUGACGGCCGUAACUAUGACGGUCCUAAGGUAGCGAAAUUCCUUGUCAGGUAAGUUCUGACGCGCAUGAAUGGCAUAAUCAUCCCCAUGC
rnacentral:rRNA from 1 species